CGCCAGCAGCCGCGGUAAUACGUAGGGGGCAAGCGUUGUCCGGAUUUAUUGGGCGUAAAGCGCACGCAGGCGGUCUGCCAAGUUCGGAGUGACAGUUUCCGGCUUAACCGGAAAAGGUCUUCGAAAACUGGUGGACUUGAGGACUUGAGAGGGAGACGGAAUUCCGGGUGGAGCGGUGAAAUGCGUAGAGAUCCGGAGGAACACCAAAUGCGAAGGCAGUCUCCUGGCAAGUUCCUGACGCUCAGGUGCGAAAGCUAGGGGAGCGAACAGGAUUAGAUACCCUGGUAGUCCUAGCCGUAAACGAUGACCACUAGGCGUGGGGGGGAUCGACCCCUUCCGUGCCGCAGCUUACGCAUUAAGUGGUCCGCCUGGGGAGUACGGUCGCAAGAUUAAAACUCAAAGGAAUUGACGGGGGCCCGCACA
rnacentral:rRNA from 1 species